AUGCAACGCGAAGAACCUUACCUGGUCUUGUACAUCCCGGAGACCCUUAGGAACUAGGGGUGCUUCCAUCUGGAAGAAUCUGGAGACAGGUGCUGCAUGGCUGUCGUCAGCUCGUGUCGUGAGAUGUUGGGUUAAGUCCCGCCAACGAGCGCAACCCUUGCCUUUAGUUGCCAGCAGUUCGGCUGGGCACUCUAAAGGGACUGCCGGUGUUAAACCGGAGGAAGGUGGGGAUGACGUCAAGUCCUCAUGGCCUUUAUGACCAGGGCCACACACGUACUACAAUGGCCGAUACAAAGGGCAGCGACACUGCGAGGUGAAGCCAAUCCCGUAAAAUCGGUCUCAGUCCGGAUUGGAGUCUGCAACUCGACUCCAUGAAGUUGGAAUCGCUAGUAAUCGUGGAUCAGCAUGCCACGGUGAAUACGUUCCCGGGCCUU
rnacentral:rRNA from 1 species